rnacentral:rRNA from 1 species
UACGUAUGGUGCAAGCGUUAUCCGGAUUUACUGGGCGUAAAGGGAGCGCAGGCGGUGCGCCAAGUCUGAUGUGAAACCCCGGGGCUCAACCCCGGGCAUGCAUUGGAAACUGGCGGGCUGGAGUGCCGGAGAGGUAAGCGGAAUUCCUAGUGUAGCGGUGAAAUGCGUAGAUAUUAGGAGGAACACCAGUGGCGAAGGCGGCUUACUGGACGGCAACUGACGCUGAGGCUCGAAAGCGUGGGGAGCAGACAGG